GACGAACGCUGGCGGCGUGCCUAAUACAUGCCAGUUGAGCGCUGAAGGUUGGUACUUGUACCGACUGGAUGAGCAGCGAACGGGUGAGUAACGCGUGGGGAAUCUGCCUUUGAGCGGGGGACAACAUUUGGAAACGAAUGCUAAUACCGCAUAAAAACUUUAAACACAAGCUUUAAGUUUGAAAGAUGCAAUUGCAUCACUCAAAGAUGAUCCCGCGUUGUAUUAGCUAGUUGGUGAGGUAAAGGCUCACCAAGGCGAUGAUACAUAGCCGACCUGAGAGGGUGAUCGGCCACAUUGGGACUGAGACACGGCCCAAACUCCUACGGGAGGCAGCAGUAGGGAAUCUUCGGCAAUGGACGAAAGUCUGACCGAGCAACGCCGCGUGAGUGAAGAAGGUUUUCGGAUCGUAAAACUCUGUUGGUAGAGAAGAACGUUGGUGAGAGUGGAAAGCUCAUCAAGUGACGGUAACUACCCAGAAAGGGACGGCUAACUACGUG
rnacentral:rRNA from 1 species